ensembl:lncRNA
UCCUUUAGAGAAGGGAUCUUUCUGUUUUUUCUCUUUUUAUCCUCAAAGCUGUCACUUUUGGGGGUCUACUGUAAUUUCAUGGGUAUAUAGGGCCUCCCAGUGAGGAAACUAACUCUCAGUCCAGUUCUCUGAAAUUUACAGUUUUAGAGAGUUGUACUGAGGGGUUUGUUGACUCACCCUGGGUCACAUAACAAGUCUGUGUCAGAGGCAGGGCUCAAACCAAGGUCUUCUUGCCAUAGAUUCGGGCACUCCAUCCAGCGUGGCACAAUUAAUAAAUGCUUGUUGAAUUAAUGUAUGCAUGAGUGAAUGAAUGAAUGAAUGAAUGAGAUCUAUUCCAGAGAUACAAAGAUUAAAAAAAAACAAAAGACAUUGUCUCUGCAGUGGAGACAUUUACAUUCUAAAGGGGUUGGAUAUAUACAACAUAUAUACACAUUUAAUACAAGGUUAAGUGAUAGGGGCAAAGGAGAAAUCCAGACAAGAUGCUCUAGGGAAGUGUGAAGAAUGAGGACACUAUCAAUUUUGGUGGGAAUAUCAGGGCAGGAGGAUUAGAGGGUAUAGGUGCAGAAGACAAAAGUGAGUAUCCUCAACAUAGAAGACUGAGGCUUUCCGAUCCAGGGGUUCAUCCCCACAUUCUUUAUUUAUUUUUUUUUAAGUGAGGCAAUCGGGGUUAAGUGACUUGCCCAAGGUCACACAGUUAGUACGUGUCAAUUGUUUGGUCUGAGGCCGUCAUCCCCACAUUCUUGAUAGGACUUUUUGUCCCAACCCGGGGUGGGUGGGGUGCCAAGUCAGGGGCUGGCCCAGGGUGGGUCAUUAGAGAUGUCGGUCUUGUCCAGAGGCACAUUUGCCAGAAUGGAGAACUAGGGAGGAGUGUUUAGACGUUAGUCUUAUUUAACAGACAUUGAAACUUACCUCCCAGGUGGGAUAGAGGGAGACAACGAAUUUCUGCAGGUCCCAGCGGGCCAGCCGGGGCUGGAAGUGCGGGGCGGCCCCUAGUUGAGCCAAGGAGGAGGUGCCGAGGACCAAGGGAGGCAGGCUUAGAAGGCUGACUGCAGACGGAGAAGGGGAGGGCUCGGCCCGCGUCACAGGGCAGCACCCUCCCCUAGCGGAAGUGUCGCUGGUCCCCCUUCCCUCCUCCCAGCCUGCCGGCUUCCCUUCUUCCCUUCCUUGCCUUUCCUGGGUUUCCCCUCCCGGCUUGCCGGGUUCUCCUUACCCAGUUGGCCAGGGUCCCAGCGUCCUGUGGGGAGGGGAGAGAGGAGACCCUCCUGCAUGUGCGCCUCCGUCUGUCCGUCUGUCUCUGGGUCUGCCUCUAGCUCCUUCAUUCUCCCUACUUCUCUCUCAGCGGCUUGGGCAGGAGCAACCUUCGGGGAGACCCGCAGGGCGAUACGAAGUAUUUGGUGUCUCGUCCCCGGGCCCAUCCAUCACGCAGACAAUAAAGAGAGUUUUUCGCCCUGACACCCACGAUUUAUGGGCGCCCUUCUCUGCCCUCAUCACUCAGCCGCCGCGGCCGCCCCCAUGACAGGCACCGCAGAGAUACCGCCGCCCCCCAGCCCUGCGCAGUUCUGCGCCCCCGCCCGACCCAAGAGGAGCUGCU